rnacentral:rRNA from 1 species
UACAGGGGGGGCAAGCGUUGUUCGGAAUUACUGGGCGUAAAGGGUUUGUAGGUGGCUUGUUAAGUCAGACGUGAAAUCCCUCAGCUUAACUGGGGAACUGCGUCUGAUACUGAUGAGCUUGAGUGCAGGAGAGGAACGCGGAAUUCCAGGUGUAGCGGUGAAAUGCGUAGAUAUCUGGAGGAACACCGGUGGCGAAGGCGGCGUUCUGGACUGCAACUGACACUGAAAAACGAAAGCCAGGGGAGCAAACGGG